UAGGGAAUCUUCCGCAAUGGACGAAAGUCUGACGGAGCAACGCCGCGUGAGUGAAGAAGGAUUUCGGUUCGUAAAACUCUGUUGUUAGGGAAGAAAAAAUGUAUAGUAACUAUAUACAAAAGAGACGGUACCUAACCAGAAAGCCACGGCUAACUACGUGCCAGCAGCCGCGGUAAUACGUAGGUGGCAAGCGUUGUCCGGAAUUAUUGGGCGUAAAGCGCGCGCAGGUGGUUAGAAAGUCUGAUGUGAAAGCCCACGGCUCAACCGUGGAGGGUCAUUGGAAACUAAUAAACUUGAGUGCAGGAGAGAAAAGUGGAAUUCCUAGUGUAGCGGUGAAAUGCGUAGAGAUUAGGAGGAACGCCGGUGGCGAAAGCGGCUUUUUGGCCUGCAACUGACACUGAGGCGCGAAAGCGUGGGGAGCAAACAGG
rnacentral:rRNA from 1 species